rnacentral:miRNA from 1 species
GCUCCAGGGAGCCUUUGCCCUGUGGUGCCAUGCAAAGAGCUUGGUCUUUGGAGCCA